GGCGUCAUAGCUCAGCUGGGAGAGCAGCAGACUGAAGACAUUUGCUGUUAUCUGAAGUCCCGUGUUCAAUCCACGGUGAUGCCA